ACGCCGUGUAUUCUACAAACUACUAUUGCUGCUCGGGUUGGGCUGAGGACAAUUUCGAUGAUUGUACAAUCCCUCGCUGUAAUAUUGUGAAUUGUGGCAUUGGUGGGACAUGCAUUCAACCUAAUGUAUGUGCUUGCAAUUCUGGAUUUAUCGGGCUAACGUGUGAAGAUAAAAACGAAUGUUUGGAAAACUAUGGAGGUUGUGACCGAACUACUGAACGUUGUGUCAACACUGACGGUAGUUUCUAUUGCGAAUGUUUCACAGGGUACGCUAGGAACCUGGGUACCGGAAUUUGUGAACCUAUUUGCACCCCACCUUGCGUCAAUGGAAGAUGUCUUGCGCCUGAUUUCUGUUCGUGUCCAGCAAAUUAUACUGAUAGUGAUUGUAGCGACU